UACGUAGGGUCCAAGCGUUGUCCGGAUUUAUUGGGCGUAAAGAGCUCGUAGGCGGUUUCGUAAGUCGGAUGUGAAAACUCAGGGCUCAACCCGGAGACGCCAUCUGAUACUGCGAUGACUUGAGUCUGGUAGGGGAACACGGAAUUCCUGGUGUAGCGGUGAAAUGCGCAGAUAUCAGGAGGAACACCGAUGGCGAAGGCAGUGUUCUGGGCCAGUACUGACGCUGAGGAGCGAAAGCGUGGGGAGCAAACGGG
rnacentral:rRNA from 1 species